rnacentral:rRNA from 1 species
GCAUAUCAUAAGAGCGGAGGAAAAGAAACCAACAGGGAUUGCCCCAGUAACGGCGAGUGAAGCGGCAAGAGCUCAAAUUUGAAAGCUGGCUCCUUCGGGGUCCGCAUUGUAAUUUGCAGAGGAUGCUUCGGGAGCGGUCCCCAUCUAAGUGCCCUGGAACGGGACGUCAUAGAGGGUGAGAAUCCCGUAUGGGAUGGGGUGUCCGCGCCCGUGUGAAGCUCCUUCGACGAGUCGAGUUGUUUGGGAAUGCAGCUCUAAAUGGGUGGUAAAUUUCAUCUAAAGCUAAAUAUUGGCCGGAGACCGAUAGCGCACAAGUAGAGUGAUCGAAAGAUGAAAAGCACUUUGAAAAGAGAGUUAAAAAGCACGUGAAAUUGUUGAAAGGGAAGCGCUUGCGACCAGACUCGCUCGCGGGGUUCAGCCGGCAUUCGUGCCGGUGUAUUUCCCCGCGGGCGGGCCAGCGUCGGUUUGGGCGGUCGGUCAAAGGCCCUCGGAAGGUAACGCCCCUAGGGGCGUCUUAUAGCCGAGGGUGCAAUGCGACCUGCCUAGACCGAGGAACGCGCUUCGGCUCGGACGCUGGCAUAAUGGUCGUAAGCGACCCGUCUUGAAACACGGACCAAGGAGUCUAACAUCUACGCGAGUGUUCGGGUGUCAAACCCGUGCGCGAAGUGAAAGCGAACGGAGGUGGGAACCCUUACGGGUGCACCAUCGACCGAUCCUGAAGUCUUCGGAUGGAUUUGAGUAAGAGCGUAGCUGUUGGGACCCGAAAGAUGGUGAACUAUGCCUGAAUAGGGCGAAGCCAGAGGAAACUCUGGUGGAGGCUCGUAGCGGUUCUGACGUGCAAAUCGAUCGUCGAAUUUGGGUAUAGGGGGCGAAAGACUAAUCGAACCAUCUGGUAGCUGGUUUCCUGCCGAG